GUUCAGGGAUGGGAAACGAACCCACAAUGUUCCGCUUACCGGGCAGAUGCCAUGUCCACUAGGCUACCCUGGA